CUGUUUAAUUAAUCACAUUGCAGUAGAGACUGAAUUACAUGAUUAUAAGUAAAUACAUUAAAAAUUAAAUUUACAGAUAAAAUUGAGUUCAAACCGUUCAAUGUUCGUUCUGAAUAGUCAGUUUAAAUCUGUCCACAAAUUAUAAUUGGGUACCUGAAUAUACACGAGUACUACUAAAUCAAUAAUACAUUAAUAAUUAUAUUUAACAGUUAUAAAAUUUUGAAACCGUUCUGUGCUCGUUUGGAGUGACCAGCUUGAUUCGGACCUAAGAUUAUAAUUAUGAGUAGUUGGAUGUAUACGAGUUGCAACAACAUCCUUAAGAGGAUUUAUAGGACCAUUGUCAAGCUUCAAUUUCCGGAUAAAUUGUUGAAAAAAGAAAGCAGAAAGCUCUAGUGUGUGCCGGGCUUAAGUGAAACAAAAAUUAUGAUUGAACAGCGGUUAAUGCUUCGAUGCUUUCAACUAUUCAACUGCAAUCAGGGACAUAGCGAGAGGGGGUGUAGAGGGGGUGUAACCCCCCCCCCCGCCAUAAUAGUUGUUCAUGAGUACUUUCCAGGUGAUUCUUUCUGAUUUUCAGGUUAAUUACAACAGCAUUGACUGGCGCUAAUAACAAAUUUUAGUUGCAUUUCUGGCCUUGAGACCAUAACAUACCUAUACAACCCUGAUCGAACAAACGAUAGGGACUGAUCGAACAAACGAUAAAUUCCUUACAAUGGAAACUACAUACAUUUAGAUUUACAAUGGCAAUUCCUAGAACAGAUAUUCCCCUGAAUAUCUGAAUAAUGCAGAAUAGGGGUGGGUGAGUGGGGACAAGUAGCACCUCCUGCCCUUUCAUAUAAGGAAGCAAUGAAAGGUGGGCAAAAGUGCCGUUUUAAUAUAAGACAAAAAUUUUUGAUACCAAAAUUCUUGGUAUAAAAUUCUUGAUGUAAAAUUCUUGAUACAAAAUUCUUGGUAUAAAAUUCUUGAUACCGCCAGUCAGUGUGCCCAGAAACUGCCAGAAAUGUCAAGGAAGCACCCUCCAGUUCUACCAUUACUUCCACUAUCACUACCAUUAAUUACGGGAUCAUUAACCAAUCACAUGCGUUUAAUCCACUCAAUUAACCAAUCACAUGCGUACAUGCGUAGCGGCAGUGGUAGUGGAAGUCAAAUCUAAACCUCAAUGAUAACUCUCGUCAAGCAAUUCAGCAAGGACAAACUUUCAGUUUUUAGUUUCUCCUCUACAUCGUCAUUAUUUACGAAUUGUUGAAGAACUUCUCUUGUUUUCUUUAAAUCAAACAAACACAGCUCAGGCGAGUUGUACAUACGUUCCUUGGCUUUGAAAAUGUUAGAAGUAUCAGCUUCUUGAGACAGUGAGUUAUUUUCCAUUAUCAGAGCCAAUUGUUGAUAUUGUUCUUGGAAAUUUGUAUUUUCUGCGAACUGUAUUUUUAGGAAGUGAAGUCUUGCGUAAGAAAUCCAGCAAAGAAAUUUAAAGAAUAUUGGGAAAUUGAUUCCACUGUUUGCUUCUAGUAUGAUCUGCAAAAGACACAAUCCCGGUUUAUAAUAAAAUAUAGCGAAUUAAACGUUAGCAACCAACCCAGUAACAAACAAACAAACAAACAAACAAACAAACAAACAAACAAACAAACAAACAAACAAACAAACAAACAAGCAAGCAAGCAAGCAAGCAAGCAAGCAAGCAAGCAAGCAAGCAAGCAAGCAAACAAACAAACAAACAAACAAGCAAGCAAGCAAGCAAACAAACAAACAAACAAACAAACAAACAAACAAACAAACAAACAAACAAACAAACAAACAAACAAACAAACAAACAAACAAACAAACAAACAAACAAACAAACAAACAAACAAACAAACAAAUAAA